UACGGAGGGUGCGAGCGUUAAACGGAAUUACUGGGCGUAAAGCGCGCGUAGGCGGCGUGAUAAGCCGGUUGUGAAAGCCCCGGGCUCAACCUGGGAACGGCAUCCGGAACUGUCAGGCUAGAGUGCAGGAGAGGAAGGUAGAAUUCCCGGCGUAGCGGUGAAAUGCGUAGAGAUCGGGAGGAAUACCAGUGGCGAAGGCGGCCUUCUGGACUGACACUGACGCUGAGGUGCGAAAGCGUGGGUCACGAACCGG
rnacentral:misc_RNA from 1 species